ACGAACGCUGGCGGCGUGCUUAACACAUGCAAGUCGAACGAUGAUGCCAGCUUGCUGGUGGAUUCGUGGCGAACGGGUGAGUAACACGUGAGCAACCUGCCCCUGACUUCGGGAUAACCGCGGGAAACCGUGGCUAAUACCGGAUAUGACGCGCUAUCGCAUGGUGGUGUGUGGAAAGAUUUAUCGGUUGGGGAUGGGCUCGCGGCCUAUCAGCUUGUUGGUGGGGUGAUGGCCUACCAAGGCGACGACGGGUAGCCGGCCUGAGAGGGUGACCGGCCACACUGGGACUGAGACACGGCCCAGACUCCUACGGGAGGCAGCAGUGGGGAAUAUUGCACAAUGGGCGCAAGCCUGAUGCAGCGACGCCGCGUGAGGGAUGACGGCCUUCGGGUUGUAAACCUCUUUCAGUAGGGAAGAAGGCCUUCGGGUUGACGGUACCUGCAGAAGAAGCGCCGGCUAACUACGUG
rnacentral:rRNA from 1 species